GCUGAUACAGCAUAAGAAGACAUAAAAGGGUAUGACCAAAACAAAAACAGGAACUAAAACCGAAAUUCUAUGUUGUUUGAUGGUAUAACACACGGGUAUAUUGGAAGCUAACAUGAGGGUAUUGAAAUUGUUAACCUCACAGCAGUAGAUGGGCAUAUAUAUAUACUUCUGCGAUCAAAAUAUCAUGAAGUGGGAUAAAGAGUGGGAUAAAAAGAAAGAUAGUAAAAGAUAAAAAAAGGUUUUCAGACAGCGGCGACGAAAUAGUUGUAAUUAUAGUCAGUGGGAUUACUGUAUUGGAGAAGUCAUAAUUCUUCACCGUCGUGCCGCUUCUCACAAUUUUGCCGGUAAUGCUACCAGCAGCGCUUGCAAUACCAAUUUUACUGACACCUGCUGCGGCCGCCUUGAGGGCAACCCAGACGUAGAGAAUAUCGUCGGUGUUGUUCCAAUAGGAAGGGCGAGCGCAGGUUGGAGCCGUGGGAUUUGCGGCCUUUGGGUGAGGGCGAGUCCAGAAGAUCAUUUGGUCACUGGCAGAGGGGUAAGAACCGGUCUUGAAAGCGGGACCAAUGUAAUGACUCUCUCCAUAAUCUGAUCAAAUUCCAUCAAGAUGAUCUCCGCCAUGUCAAAGGAAUUCCUCAUAGAGAUGAUCUGCUCCAUCCUCCUUGCCAAGAGCCAGUCGUCUGACCUGUAAAUCCAGUCCUUAUUGUAAGUUGAAGGGGAAUAUGUCAGAAGAGGUGCUAAGCGCAGUGCUGCCUGUAGGCCAGCCACCAUUCCAGUUGAAUUCGCCGUCCAUCCAGGAGUUGCUGGAGAACGUUGAGAUAUCGGAGAAAAUAGAAGGGAGGAAAUAGAUCGAAAUACCUUUGGCCGUUAAAAGGGAGCGGAAGUAUGUCCACCCAGCCGAGACAGACCCUUGGCCGAAAGUACAGGAUUCACCGGAGAAUGUCGAGACGAGAACUUUACCGUUAUAUGUGACUUGAGCAGAGUGGGUGGAGUAGGUCGCGAUGCUGGCUACGUGAGUGGCUGCGUCAGACGCUGUAGAACAACUCAAAGAAGAGACAUCGAGCGACAAGAAAAGCUUGAAAGACCCUUGUGCCUUGGCAGCAGCGUAAGCAUCGGCAAUACGGGCAGGCUGCCAUGUAUCAAUACCGUAGUUAAGGGCAAAACCGUCGAUACCAGCAGCAGAGGCAAGAGAGAUGUCGUCGGCCCAAGUGGAUUGUUUGUAAGAAUAGGUGUUGCCGACCAUAUGGUGGGCGUAGAGGGCCUUAGUGCUUGAAGCCUUCGGGACCGCUGCCACACCGACAGUGCUGGUGACCGCAGCGUUAGCAGAAACGGUUACGCUGGUGCUGGCAGCAGUAGUGGAUGAAGUUGUGGAUGUCAUGGUUGUUGAGCCGCCGAGAGAAUACACACCGAGCCUAGUGUCACCACCGCAUUUCUGAGAGCUGUCACCCUUGCAAGCGAAUUGACAUUGACUAUUAUCGGCGACCUUUGAAGAGUCCAGGAUGUUACCACAGUAGCACUACGAAGAAGAUAAGUAAUCAAUCGGAAAUUAAUGUCAAUGCUCACCUCAUCAUAGUAUUCAGUUCCAGCAUAAGUAUAGCCAAGACCCGAGCAAUAACUAUUGCAGACAGAAGGUGUCAUAGAGCUACUAAUCUUCUUGCUGCCGUUCAACGUACGGUUGUCGCCGUUAUCCUUGUAGCAUCCAACGUAGGUAACAGAAACAGAAGUGCUGGCAGCGGCAGCAGAAGUUGAGGUGGUCGAGGAGGUCGUGGUUGUUGAGCCGCCGAGAGAAUACACACCGAGCCUGGUGUCACCACCGCAUUUCUGAGAGCUGUCACCCUUGCAAGCGAAUUGACAUUGACUAUUAUCGGCGACCUUUGAAGAGUCCAGGAUGUUACCACAGUAGCACUACGAAGAAGAUAAGUAAUCAAUCGGAAAUUAAUGUCAAUGCUCACCUCAUCAUAGUAUUCAGUUCCAGCAUAAGUAUAGCCAAGACCCGAGCAAUAACUAUUGCAGACAGAAGGUGUCAUAGAGCUACUAAUCUUCUUGUUGCCGUUCAACGUACGGUUGUCGCCGUUAUCCUUGUAGCAGCCAACGUAGGUAGCUGAAGUCGACGUCGAGCCACCCUUAUAAUAGACGCCAAGUCUGGUGUCACCACCGCAAGCCUGGGAGCUAUCACCCUUGCAAGCGAAUUGACAUCUGGUGUCGACAUCGAGCUUUGUCGAGUCAAUGCUAUUACCGCAGUAACACUAGGCACACCACGUUAGACAUGUUCCUCACUGACAGUCGCGAUCGAGAGGUUACUCACUUCAUCGUAAUACUCAAGGCCAGCGUAGGAGUACCCGAGAUCAGAACAAUAGGCAACACACGCCGAUGGGGUCAUCGUCGAGGCGAUUUUUUUGCUGGCGCUCAGCGUCCGAUCGUUUCCAUUAUCUUUAUAACAUCCGAUGUAAGACCAUCCAGAGACGGUCGUCGCCGGUGUCGCGCGUUUUUCGAUGAGCGAUCUGUGAUGAUACUUCGAUUGUCGGCCAAGGCUAGGAUGGGCCUCGACAGAAGCCAUGGCCGCCAGAGCAAGGACAAAGAGCUGACUGUACAUUGCGUGUGUUGAUUCUUCACGCCGGUU
rnacentral:sRNA from 1 species